rnacentral:rRNA from 1 species
GGCUCAGGACGAACGCUGGCGGCGUGCUUAACACAUGCAAGUCGAACGGUAAGGCCCUUCGGGGUACACGAGUGGCGAACGGGUGAGUAACACGUGGGUGAUCUGCCCUGCACUUUGGGAUAAGCCUGGGAAACUGGGUCUAAUACCGAAUAGGACCAUGGACUUCACGGUUUGUGGUGGAAAGCUUUUGCGGUGUGGGAUGGGCCCGCGGCCUAUCAGCUUGUUGGUGGGGUAAUGGCCUACCAAGGCGACGACGGGUAGCCGGCCUGAGAGGGUGACCGGCCACACUGGGACUGAGAUACGGCCCAGACUCCUACGGGAGGCAGCAGUGGGGAAUAUUGCACAAUGGGCGCAAGCCUGAUGCAGCGACGCCGCGUGAGGGAUGACGGCCUUCGGGUUGUAAACCUCUUUCAGCACAGACGAAGCGCAAGUGACGGUAUGUGCAGAAGAAGGACCAGCCAACUACGUG